rnacentral:rRNA from 1 species
UGCGUAGGCGGGUUUUUAAGUCAGAGGUGAAAUCCUGGAGCUCAACUCCAGAACUGCCUUUGAUACUGGGAAUCUUGAGUAUGGAAGAGGUGAGUGGAACUGCGAGUGUAGAGGUGAAAUUCGUAGAUAUUCGCAAGAACACCAGUGGCGAAGGCGGCUCACUGGUCCAUAACUGACGCUGAGGCACGAAAGCGUGGGGAGCAAACA